rnacentral:rRNA from 1 species
GACGAACGCUGGCGGCGUGCUUAACACAUGCAAGUCGAACGAUGACGACCGAGCUUGCUCGGUCUGAUUAGUGGCGAACGGGUGAGUAACACGUGAGCAACCUGCCCUUCACUCUGGGAUAUCCUCGGGAAAUCGGGGCUAAUACCGGAUAUGAGCUCCUGUCGCAUGGCGGGUGUUGGAAAGUUUUCCGGUGAAGGAUGGGCUCGCGGCCUAUCAGUUUGUUGGUGAGGUAGUGGCUCACCAAGGCGAUGACGGGUAGCCGGCCUGAGAGGGCGACCGGCCACACUGGGACUGAGACACGGCCCAGACUCCUACGGGAGGCAGCAGUGGGGAAUAUUGCACAAUGGGCGAAAGCCUGAUGCAGCGACGCCGCGUGAGGGAUGACGGCCUUCGGGUUGUAAACCUCUUUCAGCAGGGAAGAAGCGAAAGUGACGGUACCUGCAGAAGAAGCGCCGGCUAACUACGUG